UACGUAGGGGGCAAGCGUUGUCCGGAAUCAUUGGGCGUAAAGAGCGCGUAGGCGGUCCGUUAAGUGUAGAGUGAAAGCUCCGGGCUCAACUCGGAAAUUGCUCUGCAUACUGGCGGACUCGAGGACGGAAGAGGUUUGUGGAAUUCCUGGUGUAGCGGUGAAAUGCGUAGAUAUCAGGAGGAACACCCAUGGCGAAGGCAGCAAACUGGUCCGUAUCUGACGCUGAGGCGCGAAAGCGUGGGUAGCAAACAGG
rnacentral:rRNA from 1 species